UGCACACCCCACCAAAACGUGGCAAAGCUUCGGGUAGCAUCGGAUAAUCUCCGUUUGUGAUUUCCUGAAUUAUCUACGCUAUAUCCAGAGGGGACUCGUCAAAAGUUCCGUACACGAUAUUUACUGGGAGAUCGUACGCUUAAGAAAGGAGAUGUCUCUUGCUCGGCUGGGCCUCACUCUAGCAUCUUGAAUAUUCUAUUCUGUACCAAAUUUAGCCAAAGACAGAGUAUUUAUCAUUAUUCUCAAAUUAAGUUAUAUAUAUAUGUAAAUCUGUAAUAUUUCAGAUUGUUUAUUUUAGUGUUGUUCAUAA